rnacentral:rRNA from 1 species
UGGGGAAUCUUGCACAAUGGGGGCAACCCUGAUGCAGCGACGCCGCGUGAGCGAUGAAGGUUUUCGAAUCAUAAAGCUCUGUCCUAUGGGAAGAUAAUGACGGUACCAUAGGAGGAAGCCCCGGCUAACUACGUGCCAGCAGCCGCGGUAAUACGUAGGGGGCGAGCGUUGUCCGGAAUUACUGGGCGUAAAGGGUUCGCAGGCGGCAUGGCAAGUCCGAUGUAAAAGGCGAAGGCUCAACCUUCGUAAGCAUCGGAAACUGUCAAGCUUGAGUGAAGGAGAGGCAAGUGGAAUUCCUAGUGUAGCGGUGGAAUGCGUAGAUAUUAGGAGGAAUACCGGUGGCGAAGGCGACUUGCUGGACUUCAACUGACGCUGAGGAACGAAAGCGUGGGUAGCAAACAGG